GGUAAAUUUUUAUUUUUUGGUGGGGAGGGGGUGUAGUUCAUUUGAAUUAUUGGCAAAUUAAUCAUCUUGAAACAUUAGAAAUUAUUAUUGUUUUGGUAGCCUUGUUUAUGGCCUUUUCGCCCCUUUUCUUCUUGAAUUUGGAAAAAGAAUCAAAUUUUAUAGUGAUAUUGAAGAAUGAAGGCGUUUUCUGUUUGUUACUAUUUUAUAAUCGUUAUGUAACUUACAUUUGUUAGAACUUUUUCUUUUUCCUUUCAUUUAUGCACAGAAAUCAAUGCCCAAAAUUUCAAAUCUUUGAAAAUAAAAGAAUCUAGUCAGCAAUUUCAGUUUAGUGGAGAAGGGGUAUCUCAAGUUACUGAGGUACCAGUAACAUUCAAUUUUGAUGGUUGUCAAAUUGAAAGAGCUAAAGGGGACAAGUUUUUGUCAGCGGUCCAUACUGUCUCUCACCUCUUGAUCUUAACAUUGAAAUUUGCAUUGCUAUCAACGAAUCCUCUGAUAACAAUCCGAAAUGUAAAGAAAAGUUUGACAAACUGUGUUCACAAGAGAUUAAUUGUGUAACCUCGAAACGCAUCAGCUUGGAUCUGAAUGCAGAAGAUGCUACUAGCUCGAUAAACCAUGAAUCAAUUCAUCACAAACACAUCAAAAAUUUGAAGCCAAAGGAUGCUUCUAUGUGUGGAAGUUCUAUUGGUCCACUGGAGGAGAAAGAAUCGUUGAGAAUCGAAUGAGAUGAAGCAGAAUGGUUUUCUUUCAUCUUCUAAUGGGGGUAUAUCUAUGCAAAAUGCCUUACUGUCAUCUUCUCAUUGCGGAAAACCAGUGCCCAAGCACCGUGGAAGGAAAAGUAAGAAUGAUGUGCUCAAGAAGAUGGAGCUUGCUAAGAAAGAACAGGUUGACAGGUUCACAAAAAUGGCUGCUCCAAGUGGACUUGUCAAUGGAUUAAUCCCUGGGAUUAUAAAUCAUGUUAGAAAUAGAAAACAGGUCCAUUCCAUGAUAGAGGCCUUAGUGAAGUCUGAAAAUUUUGAACAUUUGCAUUCAGAAAGCAAACAGGCAAGUCAUGAAAAAAGUGGAAUUGAAGUUGGUGAUGGAAAUAUGGAUUUUUCAGGAUUACAUCGACUCGGUUGUUACCAUGAAGAUGGGCCUCCAAAUGCUACAUCAAUGAGCAGAAAAGCAAGAUUUUAUCUAGCGCCAAUGCAUAAGCCAUAUUCAUCAAUUUCAGAGGGAAGAGGUGGAGAUGGUGAUUCAAGCAUGGUAGAUCCAGUCAGUGAGCAUGAUGCACUAGCAUUGAAAUUGCCAUCAUCUAAGGCAUCUGAGAAUGCUAGCACUUUGUCUAAUGAGGAAUCAGCAAACUUUAUCAGUGCCUCUUCCUUUCUGUAAAAGCUGCCACAGUUGCAUCUCAAUACUUCUUCAGCAAGAUAUUAAAGGACUUCUUUCGGCACAGUAAGAAGAAAGUGCAAGGUGUAAUUACAACAGAGCUAUCUUUUCUAAUAUCAAAAGAAUUCCCCUCUAACCAAGGGAAUGAUCCUGAUAUUUUAAGAAAUUCUGCUGAUGGAUUUUCCGAUGAUGGUGCUGCUGAGGUACAUAGAGCGAGAUGGAGUGCACUGUUUGAUCAGAUGGAUAAAGCUCUUUCUCAAAAAGAGAAACAACUAGUAAGUUGCAGAAAAGUUAUCAUGUUUACUGUUGUUUGAAGGAAUGGUACUCAAGUUUUUACGUGAAGAACACAAUACUUACAGUCUCUAGUGUUAGUUUGGAAGUCAAGGGUGAAGGAACCUAUGCUGUCUAAUUUGAACCCAGUUAUUCCUUUAUCGAUAAUCCCUUGCGAGUAGGAAAGGUGAAUAAUUUGGUAAAGCCUAGCACCUUAGGUGUUGUUGAAAAUAGGUCAUUGAGACGGUACACUACUUAAUUGAAUUUUACCUCUUCAAGUUCAUUUACUUCUUCUCAAUCUGUUUCCUCUUAAGUAGAAUCUUUAUGUUUAUAAAGAAUGGUAUUUCUAAUCUUUCUGACUUUCCCAUUUAUAUUCCAGGAAAUUUGGUUGAACCAAAUAAAAGGGAUGCAACUGCAUUGUGAUCAGGGCUUGCAACAUAUGCAUUGGAAUGUGCUUUAUAGUUUACCACAACUAGGAGGAUCAGAAAGUAAUAUCAGAUCGGUGAUGGGGGACAGCUUUGACAGGGAAUUGGCUAAGGGCAGCUGCUGCUUCCAUUUAUUCAACGUGCAAUUUCAUGUUGUCAAAGGAGAGUGUACCCUAUUCCCUAAUCUGAUUAACAGUGGCACCUAAUUUAAAUUGAAUGUUCUUAAUGCUACCGUAGAAACAUCAAUUUGCAUUAUGCAAACUAGUUGUUAGGUUUUGUUAGGUUGAUAAGGACUUGCUGAGUUGUGAAAUUCCAACACUAGAAGUGAGGUCAUCUUUUGUCUGUUAUCUUCUUUUUUCAAUUUCGUUUAUAAGCCUUUAUCAGCAUAGGGGCAGAAUUUGAUGUUAGAAUUGCAAUUGUCGCACUGUGAGGUUCCUUAAUAUCCUUUUGCGUUCAAACAUUUUUUGCCAUUUUCUUGCACUUGUUCUGUAAUUUACAAGGCUUGUACCACAAUUUUGGACUCAUGAAAAACUAUAACAAUGGUAGAGAAAUAUUUUCAAGUUAGGUUAAAUAUUGAACCGUGGCAUACCGGCAACAAAGUAUCACUUGCCCCCAUUUUAUAUGAAUUGCAGGUCUACAACUAGUUUGGUCCCAUCUUGCUUGACAUUGGCUUCGAGGAUGUAUGGUCUGGAACUUUGGC